rnacentral:misc_RNA from 1 species
GGAAGGGCGUCGCGGCGAGGGUGCCGUUGAAUGCGGAGCGCACGCGCUACGGGAACAGAGGUUUGGGGCCACGCGGCGGCACCAGUCCGCUCCUCUCAAACCGCGAAACACGUCCCGGCGCCCUCGAGGACGAGAAUCGCGAGUGGCCAGCUCUCUCUUUCUGUCCCUCUCCCUCUCUGACUCUAUGCUCCUCCAUUGAUUCUUUUACAUUUUUUUUCUUACUACAAUUAACCGUGAAAGUAUACCUGUGAAGAGUAAUUCUCGAAGGAGUUCCUGUAUCGCGUGUUCAUCCGUAUCUCCGGGGGACAAACGUUCGCGACGCAUCGUUCAACGAACCGGUCGCAAAGAGGAUAGGAAAACGCACGAGACGCUGAACAAGGAAAAUAUCGAGGGAGAAGCACGAAACUGUUUCGAACGUGGAGGCAUCGAUUGGCUACGAUCGAUAUCACGGAAGAGAAAGAAGCUUCGUUCUCUUCGUGGUGAAGCUCUUUCCGCUUGUCUCUCCAAGGAACGAUCCCCUACGGGACUUAUACGGGUUUAUACAUGGUGUAUUUAAUCGCCGAAUCAAGACGCUGAUUCAGUUUCUCGUUUAUCGCGUUAUUCUGGUGAAUGAUCGACCAUGGGAGAAGAGUAAACCAGAACACGGAUGUAUGCAGUCGGUUUCACGUGUUAAUUAAGGAUCAUCCAUUUACGGUGACUGCAGUGUUAGCGUUUUCUCUGUGCUAAGUAAACUGUUCCAAAUUGAACGUAUCCACGGAUGGGAGGACCGAUUAGCCCGGACUGAAUUAUUUUCGGGUUUAAUUGUGAGUCUCUUAAUUGGACCCUAAGGAACGAUAAAUCCGUGUGGCAGAAGUAACGGCUGCAGGCUACCACACGGAAGGCUCUGUACUCUCAGCGAAGCUGUAAACGCGUGCGUGGGAUUCUGACGUCAGAUCCUCUGAAGGAUGCGACGACUCGUUAAAGCCGUCUAGUCGAAGCGACGAAACCUUCCACGUCGCAAUCGUUCGAAUCCCAACAACUACGAUCGUAUUCCUGAAACGAACUAAGGAAACACAGAUAAUCAACGCAAAGAAAUUCGCGAAGAAGACAGUUGAAGGAAGAUAGACAUCGUAGAUAUCUGUGUAUACAUCAACGGAUCUCUUGUUAGAUUUAAAAAAUGAGAGAUAAGACGAAAAUCGAGAGAAGGAAACACGGUGUCAACGGAUCGACGACCAGAUAGGAUCGGAUCUCUGAUUGAAAGAGCGCGCAAAGCUGGCUGCGCGUGCCACGAAAA